rnacentral:misc_RNA from 1 species
GUGAAGAACGCAGCGAAAUGCGAUAAGUAAUGUGAAUUGCAGAAUUCAGUGAAUCAUCGAAUCUUUGAACGCACAUUGCGCCCCUUGGUAUUCCGAGGGGCAUGCCUGUUCGAGCGUCAUAUUAACCACUCCCGCUUGCGGGGUCUUGGGCUUCGCCUCCGGGCGGGCCUUAAAAUCAGUGGCGGUGCCGUCGGGCUCUACGCGUAGUAAAUUUUCUCGCGAUAGGGUCCCGGUGGAUGCUUGCCAACAACCCCCAACUUCUUAAGGUUGACCUCGGAUCAGGUAGGGAUACCCGCUGAACUUAAGCAUAUCAAUAAGCGGAGGA